UACGCUGCACCUCACACAUCUCCCCUCUCCCUCUCACCUCUUCUCUUUCCUUUUUCUUUUACAGAAGUUAAAAAUCCCUAGCUGUUUCUCCUUAAGAACAAAGGGAUUAAGUCAUUAAUCGAAGAAGAAAUCUCCGACCAUAAAAAAAACCAUAUCUUUAUGUAGAAGAAUUUUUCACGCAGUACGAUCCCGAUUUGGGUUUGAUGUUGAAGAUGUUUCUUACAAGGAUAAACAUGGUUCAAAUUGGAACAAUCCCACUUGGUGCAAAGUGGCCGUUAUGGGUUCAUAGUGGCAAUGACAGGGGUUGAUAAUGCUGGGAAAGGUCUAAUUCGCGAUGGAACAGGUUUGUGACGUUUCCUGUCAAGUAUCAAUGUGUAGUUUUCACACCUUUCUUCAAAAAUUCAUUGUUCGAUUCUUUCAAGGAAUGACGUUUCAGUAUUUUUUUAAAUGUUUCGAGUACUUCGGGAUGGCGUUUUCUGCUGAAGCGGGUCUUGUUCAAAUAUUCGUCUCAAACCAUGUUGUGGCGCCGGACCUUAGUGGAGAAACAUUAUCUGUGAAUGGAAGCCAGUGAAUUCCUUUAGACAUCUGAUUCAUCGUUUGAUGUUACAUUGGAGAAGAUAGUAUAAGGUGAUAUUGCAAUAGGUCAGCGCAGAGAGAUUAGGUAUAUGCCAGAAAGAAAGGUGAAGCACCUCAUUCUUCUGGGAUAGGGAGAAAGAACCAAUUGUUCGACCCUUUAACAACUUGUUACUGGCGUUCUGCUUUACCAAGGCUGCCAGCCAUGAAGAUUACUUCAGAAUUAGAGUACAUCAUUCUGAAGUAUGUGGUAAGUUCAUCAUCAUUAAUGAAGUAGGGAUAAGUUUUAAGUCAUCAUCGUACUUUAUCAUUUAGCUGUUUAAUCAAUAGUUAAACUAGUUCAUCGUUUUGUAACCAAAUUCUAGAACUUAGUUACCUUUCUUGUAAGAUUUACAUUGGUCAAAACUCAAGAUUUUGAUCCUUUUUGUGUAAUUUGAACCCAGUUUAUCAAUGAAUGUUAAAUUAUACAAAUUUAAUUUGAUUCUCAUUUUUAUU